AUUGAACGCUGGCGGCAGGCCUAACACAUGCAAGUCGAGCGGAUGAAGGGAGCUUGCUCCUGGAUUCAGCGGCGGACGGGUGAGUAAUUCCUAGGAAUCUGCCUGGUAGUGGGGGAUAACGUCCGGAAACGGGCGCUAAUACCGCAUACGUCCUGAGGGAGAAAGUGGGGGAUCUUCGGACCUCACGCUAUCAGAUGAGCCUAGGUCGGAUUAGCUAGUUGGUGGGGUAAAGGCCUACCAAGGCGACGAUCCGUAACUGGUCUGAGAGGAUGAUCAGUCACACUGGAACUGAGACACGGUCCAGACUCCUACGGGAGGCAGCAGUGGGGAAUAUUGGACAAUGGGCGAAAGCCUGAUGCAGCCAUGCCGCGUGUGUGAAGAAGGUCUUCGGAUUGUAAAGCACUUUAAGUUGGGAGGAAGGGCAGUAAGUUAAUACCUUGCUGUUUUGGCGUUACCAACAGAAUAAGCCCCGGCUAACUUCGUG
rnacentral:rRNA from 1 species